rnacentral:rRNA from 1 species
CACGUAGGGCGCGAGCGUUGUCCGGAAUUAUUGGGCGUAAAGAGCUCGUAGGCGGCCUGUUGCGUCCGCUGUGAAAGCCCGGGGCUUAACCCCGGGUCGGCAGUGGAUACGGGCAGGCUAGAGGUAGGUAGGGGAGAAUGGAAUUCCCGGUGUAGCGGUGAAAUGCGCAGAUAUCGGGAGGAACAACGGUGGCGAAGGCGGUUCUCUGGGCCUUACCUGACGCUGAGGAGCGAAAGCGUGGGGAGCGAACAGG